GAUGAACGCUGGCGGAAUGCUUUACACAUGCAAGUCGAACGGUAGAGGGGGCAACCCCUCGAGAGUGGCGAACGGGUGAGUAAUAUAUCGGAACGUGCCCAGUCGUGGGGGAUAACGUAGCGAAAGUUACGCUAAUACCGCAUACGAUCUAAGGAUGAAAGCGGGGGAUCGCAAGACCUCGCGCGAUUGGAGCGGCCGAUAUCAGAUUAGGUAGUUGGUGGGUAAAGGCUCACCAAGCCAACGAUCUGUAGCUGGUCUGAGAGGACGACCAGCCACACUGGAACUGAGACACGGUCCAGACUCCUACGGGAGGCAGCAGUGGGGAAUUUUGGACAAUGGACGCAAGUCUGAUCCAGCCAUUCCGCGUGCAGGAUGAAGGCCCUCGGGUUGUAAACUGCUUUUGUACGGAACGAAAAGGUCUCUCUUAAUACGGGGGGCUCAUGACGGUACCGUAAGAAUAAGCACCGGCUAACUACGUGCCAGCAGCCGCCGCAG
rnacentral:rRNA from 1 species